rnacentral:snoRNA from 1 species
GCUGUAGAAGUGGUGAGCUCCUCAUGUCUCUUCUCUGACUGACUUUAGUGGAGAGAGAAGAUUACAGCUCUGAUCGCAGC